UUCAUGUGCAUCUGCGUCACAAUAUUUUUUAUUUCAUUGGAAAACAGAAUAGGGUGAUAGUGCAGCUAGUCUGUCAUCUUUUAUUCAUCCAUUCAUCCUCUUCUCCUCACUUCUCACUCCUCGCCUCCGCACCAGGGAGCUUAGCAUCUGACAACGUUCACUGAAAACCACCAGCUGGAUAGACAACAAGAGGAGAGGAAAAGCUAGGAAAUAAGAAAAGUGUGUGUGCGCGUGCGUGCGUGCGUGCGUGCGUGCGUGCGUGCGUGCGUGCGUGCGUGCGUGCGUACGUACGUGCAUGCAGGAGGGACAGGAGGGCAGCAGGGGCACAUUGUGAUGACAGCAGCCCGGCCCUCAGAGCACAGCAGAUGGUUAAGACAGGAAUGGCUGUGGCUCUAGAUCAAAACCUCAACUCUCCAAAGUAACAAUCUUUGAAUAAAAUUAACUUUGUUUUUCAUUUUUGUAAUAAAUGCAUCUCUGUGCAAAGAGGAAAAUACAAAGAAGUUAUAUUUUCUUCUGGCUCUCCACUACUCUGUGUCACUGAAAGCCUGGCCUGCUGAAAUGAUGAAGGCCAGUCGUGUCGGAUAUUUCUGGCCUUUUUCUGUCCCUCACACUCACACCCGCGCGCACAAACACACAGAGCUUCAAGUUGCCAUGGCAAUCUGACGAUAAGGAGUUAUGAUUGAAUGGCUGAGGUAGAAAUGUGCUUUGAUUGCCACAGUGUGCUGCAUAGACAUUGAUUUUGCCUUUCACCUCACAGACCUGCUGCAGUUAUUAUCAUUUCUGGUGAGCUGAGCUGAAGUAAUUUCAGGAAAAUACAAUUAUGCAAUGCAUAUUCAUGGCACUGUGUACAUUUAAAUAGCUGUGUGAACUUGUUUUUGGGUGACAAAAAUGUCUUAUUCAGCAUUGGAUGCACUAUGCUUACCAAGUUAGCUAGCUAGUGCUAGCAUUUGCUGGUAACCCAGCGUUUAGCUUAGCAGUAGCUGCACCCUCUUGUACAAAUAUGGUCACUUCUGCUUCCAAAACAACAAGUUGGCGAAGGCCAAAAUGCCAAACUCAAAGCAUCCAAACGGUAGUCCACAAACCAAAGGGUGGCGUCCUGUUGUGUCACGGUGGCUACGUCCACUUCUUUUGUACAUUCUGUAGUUGUAAAUACUCUUUACAGCUUGAGUCUGUAUCUGUCAGCCUCAACUGAUAGCCCGUAUUUAUCAGCCUCUAUCAUCUGUCAAUUGCUAUAGGUGCUAUAGGUAAUAUUUGUGUGCAGCGUGAAUUUCCUUGUGCCAUAUUUGUGUAUUGCCAUAGAAGCCGAGGACUCAUGGAUGUGUUGUUGUGUGCGGUUUUGAGGUAGAUAAUUUGUCAUAAUUGUUUAAAUCUACAUACAGAUGGAAAUCAAGUUUCCUUUACAUUUAAGCAUACUCAGAAAAGUUAUAUACAAAGACCUGUUUUGUUUGAUUGUUUAAUAGACAAAGGAAAAGAAGGAGUUGCUCACACCUGCAAAAUAUUCAAAUAAAUUGUGGAUGGUGAUGAGACAGCUACAGAAAAAUCAUAGAAAACAAAAAACUCGGUGCCCGUCGCAGGCUGUUAACAUUUCAUGCUUGUUCGCAUCAUAAGCUUUGGAGUUGCACGGCAUGCAUGUCUUCUCUUCAACAAUCCAAAACAAACGUGUGUGUGUGUGUGUGUGUGUGUGUGUGUUUGUGUGUUUGUGUGUGCGUGCGUGCGUGCGUGCGUGCGUGCGUGCGUGCGUGUGUGUGUGUGUGUGUGGGUGUGUGUGUUUGUGUGUGUGUGUGUGUGUGUGUGUAUUUGCGUGUAUGUAAGGAACUUCUCAUGUGUGCUGUGUAAUAGUCUAAUGGCUUUUGUUUGUGAAAUAGGCUGAUAAAUUAUGUAACUGUUUGUUGUAGCUAUGUGCCAAAUAAACAACUUUUUCCAGCAGCAA